rnacentral:rRNA from 1 species
AGCAGUAGCCGCGGGAAAACGAAGGGUGCAAGCGUUAAUCGGAAUUACUGGGCGUAAAGCGCGCGUAGGUGGUUUGGUAAGAUGGAUGUGAAAUCCCCGGGCUCAACCUGGGAACUGCAUCCAUAACUGCCUGACUAGAGUACGGUAGAGGGUGGUGGAAUUUCCUGUGUAGCGGUGAAAUGCGUAGAUAUAGGAAGGAACACCAGUGGCGAAGGCGACCACCUGGACUGAUACUGACACUGAGGUGCGAAAGCGUGGGGAGCAAACAGGAUUAGAUACCCCUGUAGUCCCUGUCUCUUAUAA